AAAACUUUGUGCAAUAACUAAUAUAUAUUUAGAACUUCAGAGAAAACACGUCAGUCACAUUUAAUUCCAGAAUGCAUCAAGACCUUUUUUUUUUCCCUUUGAAUCACACUUUUUCCCUUCCAAAUAGAUUUCCCUUAUAUUAUGCUUCAUAUUAGAAAUCUGGGCUUCGUGUUUACUGAUACAUGUUUUGACUUCAUUUAAAAGGCCUUUUCUGCUAGCUUUCUUUUAAUUUUGUACCUUUCAAAGAGAGACUCCUUUCCUUUCUAACCUUUUCUGACUUUUCUUCACCAGACUUCUAGCCCCACACUCAGCUACUGACUGAGGCAGGUUGUAGAGAAAUUUCUGGGCAUGUUGUUAACAUCUGACACAGUGAGUGAGAAAAAAGCCAGCACAGUCACCGGUCAGGUUCAAGGGGAAGUGGCAGCUCCUGGAGAUGAAAAGUUCUGUGUGUUUGUCAGUUGCUGGUUACCUGCAAAACACUGGUUAAAUCAAAAUCCAUUCACUUCUCAAUUGUGUCGCUUUUUCUAAACCACUGUAAUGCAAACCAAAAGGGUCUUUAUGGAUUUUUUUAUUGAUGUGUGCAGAUCAAGUGAAUCUUUAGUUAGUCUUGUCUGACAUUUUCCAUGAUACUUUUAGUAAUCAAUAUUAUAUUAUAUAACUAUUUCUGGUGACUAUUUAUGGAGGUGUUUGCUUAAAUUUUUCUUUAGAUAAAGCCUUUAAUCUGGAUUCCACCCAGAAUCCAUAGAGGAGCUACCCGAGUUUAGGAAGUUUAGUGUUGCUCUUUGUACUUCAGCUUUUAAUAUCGGAGCACAUAUUGAAACCAUAAACACAAUGAAAAUCGAAAAUAAAUAUUCCAACAAUAUUAGAAUAUAUCCUCUCCUUUUUAUCCUGAAAGAGCUGAGGGCUUGGGGAGUGGCAGGAAGAAACAUUCUGAAGAUCUAAGCCCUGGACGCCAUCCUGCAAGUGCUUAAAACCCUUAAAAACGUGCAAGGUGAAGAACACCCCCUUUCCAAGUCUAAAACAAUAUUAGAUUCCCAAAACAUAACGGCAAAGAAAGCCUUACCGUCAAACGCUUGCAGCAGGUUCCAGCUCAGACCCAGACUGGAAAGUUGAGCAGCUGGUGAACAAAAGUUUUAGCCUUUUUUUUUUUUUUUUUUUUUUAAACGAAGUCUGCAAAACUAAUUUCCCUCAAAAUAGGGCUCAAUUUCCGUUAAAGAAAGCCGCGC
rnacentral:lncRNA from 9 species